UACGGAGGGGACUAGCGUUGUUCGGAAUUACUGGGCGUAAAGCGCACGUAGGCGGAUUUGUAAGUCAGGGGUGAAAUCCCGGGGCUCAACCUCGGAACUGCCUUUGAUACUGCAAAUCUCGAGUCCGGAAGAGGUGAGUGGAAUUCCUAGUGUAGAGGUGAAAUUCGUAGAUAUUAGGAGGAACACCAGUGGCGAAGGCGACUCGCUGGACCGGUCCUGACGCUCAGGCGCGAAAGCGUGGGGAGCGAUCCGG
rnacentral:rRNA from 1 species